rnacentral:lncRNA from 1 species
AAAACUGUCAGUUAUCCUUCACACCAGAAUAUCACCACACUUUUCCUCUUUAAAUUUUGUCAAAUUAAAAAUUGAAACGGGGAAUAUGUCAAAAAGACAACAACAGGUCCAAAGUUUAGAAAAUGAUCAAAGAUAACCAAUGAGUCUUAAAUACAGCGAUAAAAUACCUUACCUGGAAUUGUAUGUGUGUAUCUAACCUCCCUAAGUACUUAAACAUGUUCUGAUUGCUU